CUUUCUUAAUCUACAAUGCACUUAUUUGAACAGAAUUCUCUCUUCAGGUAUUUGUUGUGUUAAUGAUCCUUGUUGAUUUUGUUAGCUGGUUUUUAAUUGGGCUUACCCUUUAAUUAUCAGUGGCCUUAUGUAAUAUUAGAAUAGUCUCCAACAUUACUUUGUUCUACUUCUAGAAAUUCUAUAUCUUAUGUAAGUUUACAUUUCAAUCUGCAAGUGAUUUGUAUUUGUAGAGCUUAAAGUGUUAAAGAACAGGAGAUGAUCAAUACUAGUCUUAGGAAAGAAGGCUCACUUCACAUAGCCACGUAGGUCAUGUGCUGCAAAAUGUCAAGGGAUGCCUGAAAGGAGAGAGGUGUAAGAGAUGAUUUAAUAUUAUUUAUGGUUGGCUUAUAAGUAAUUGUUUUGAUGUUAUGAUAGCUUAUAUUUUCCUCCACAGGCAUAUAUAUCUACAGGGACUCAGAUAAUCAAUAAUGUGGUCUUA
rnacentral:lncRNA from 1 species